GACGAACGCUGGCGGCGUGCUUAACACAUGCAAGUCGAACGGAAAGGCCCUGCUUUUGUGGGGUGCUCGAGUGGCGAACGGGUGAGUAACACGUGAGUAACCUGCCCUUGACUUUGGGAUAACUUCAGGAAACUGGGGCUAAUACCGGAUAGGAGCUCCUGCUGCAUGGUGGGGGUUGGAAAGUUUCGGCGGUUGGGGAUGGACUCGCGGCUUAUCAGCUUGUUGGUGGGGUAGUGGCUUACCAAGGCUUUGACGGGUAGCCGGCCUGAGAGGGUGACCGGCCACAUUGGGACUGAGAUACGGCCCAGACUCCUACGGGAGGCAGCAGUGGGGAAUAUUGCACAAUGGGCGGAAGCCUGAUGCAGCAACGCCGCGUGCGGGAUGACGGCCUUCGGGUUGUAAACCGCUUUCGCCUGUGACGAAGCGUGAGUGACGGUAAUGGGUAAAGAAGCACCGGCUAACUACGUGCCAGCAGCCGCGGUGAUACGUAGGGUGCGAGCGUUGUCCGGAUUUAUUGGGCGUAAAGGGCUCGUAGGUGGUUGAUCGCGUCGGAGGUGUAAUCUUGGGGCUUAACCCUGAGCGUGCUUUCGAUACGGGUUGACUUGAGGAAGGUAGGGGAGAAUGGAAUUCCUGGUGGAGCGGUGGAAUGCGCAGAUAUCAGGAGGAACACCAGUGGCGAAGGCGGUUCUCUGGGCCUUUCCUGACGCUGAGGAGCGAAAGCGUGGGGAGCGAACAGGCUUAGAUACCCUGGUAGUCCACGCUGUAAACGGUGGGUACUAGGUGUGGGGUCCAUUCCACGGGUUCCGUGCCGUAGCUAACGCUUUAAGUACCCCGCCUGGGGAGUACGGCCGCAAGGCUAAAACUCAAAGGAAUUGACGGGGCCCCGCACAAGCGGCGGAGCAUGCGGAUUAAUUCGAUGCAACGCGUAGAACCUUACCUGGGUUUGACAUGGAUCGGGAGCGCUCAGAGAUGGGUGUGCCUCUUUUGGGGUCGGUUCACAGGUGGUGCAUGGCUGUCGUCAGCUCGUGUCGUGAGAUGUUGGGUUAAGUCCCGCAACGAGCGCAACCCUUGUUCACUGUUGCCAGCACGUUAUGGUGGGGACUCAGUGGAGACCGCCGGGGUCAACUCGGAGGAAGGUGGGGAUGACGUCAAGUCAUCAUGCCCCUUAUGUCCAGGGCUUCACGCAUGCUACAAUGGCUGGUACAGAGAGUGGCGAGCCUGUGAGGGUGAGCGAAUCUCGGAAAGCCGGUCUCAGUUCGGAUUGGGGUCUGCAACUCGACCUCAUGAAGUCGGAGUCGCUAGUAAUCGCAGAUCAGCAACGCUGCGGUGAAUACGUUCCCGGG
rnacentral:rRNA from 1 species